CCUACGGGAGGCAGCAGUGGGGAAUAUUGGGCAAUGGACGAAACCCUGACCCAGCAACGCCGCGUGAAUGAUGAAGGUCUUCGGAGUGUAAAGUUCUUUUCUAAGGGAAGAAGAAAGUGACGGUACCUUAGGAAUAAACCUCGUCUAACGACGUGCCAGCAGCCGCGGUAAUACGUAGGAGGCGAGCGUUAUCCGGAAUGUCUGGGCGUAAAGGGUGCGUAGGUGGUUUGGCAAGUUAGUAGCGAAACUCCAAGGCUCAACCUUUUAACUACUACUGAAACGGGUAGACUUGAGUGCAGGAGGGGCAAGCGGAAUUCCUGGUGUAGCGGUGGAAUGCGUAGAUAUUAGGAGGAACACCAGUGGCGAAGGCGGGUUGCUAGACUGUAACUGACACUGAGGCACGAAAGCGUGGGGAGCAAACAGGAUUAGAUACCCCAGUAGUC
rnacentral:rRNA from 1 species